rnacentral:piRNA from 1 species
UAGGAUUAUCCAUAUUGUAAAGUAUCCAUCC